CAGUAGCCGCGGUAAUACGUAGGUGGCAAGCGUUGUCCGGAAUUAUUGGGCGUAAAGGGCUCGCAGGCGGUUUGACAAGUCUUAUGUGAAAUCUUCGGGCUCAACCCGAAGUCUGCAUGGGAAACUGUCGGGCUUGAGUAUUGGAGAGGUGAGUGGAGUUUCCGGUGUAGCGGUGAAAUGCGUAGAUAUCGGAAGGAACACCUGUGGCGAAAGCGGCUCACUGGACAAUAACUGACGCUGAUGCACGAAAGCUAGGGGAGCAAACAGGAUUAGAUACCCCCGUAGUCCCUGUCUCUUAUAC
rnacentral:rRNA from 1 species